GGCUCUAACCCAGUGAGCCACCCAGGUGCCCCAGCACACUGAAAGAUUUUUAUAAUAGCCUCUGAGAUUGUUCUUGCCCAGUGAAGGGAAUGUUCAUGGUGUAAAAAUUUUUUAUGCAGAAAAUCACCUGGGAUGCCUGUUAAAAAUGCAGAUUCCUGGGCAGCCAGAACCGUGUCAUUGGUCAAGAGCAACACUAAGACCUACCUGUCACUUAUGUUGAGGCUUCUUGCCUAGUGGGUUCAUCAGCAAGCCAGAAUGAAUCCCCAUUGACAUGAAUGUCCUUGUGAGGCAGUUGGGAAUUCUUGUCACAGAAGCUGCAAUGAAUUCUCUCAUGGCCCUGAAGUAUGGUUUGUUCCCAUGGAGAAGAACCUAACAGAAGAUUGAUAGCGUGGACAUUUCUGGCAUCAGGGAUGAGGAAGUGCUUCCUCCAUCCUGCAAGCUUCUGGGAACUCAGUGCCCAUUGUGUACAGGAUAUGUACCCAUUGAAGACCUUCAUGCCCUCCAAUAUAAGGCUAACUGUGUUCUCACUACAGAAGUUUAGAAUCAGAGAGUUUCUUCUCUCUGCUGCCUUUUGAGCUGCGGCACUAUGCUGGGAGAUGGGACUAUGGAGACGAAUUUAGGCACAGUCCCUGCCCUCAGGUGUUCUCAGUCUAGUGAGAGGGUUCGACGUGUACACAGAUAAUUACAACAGUAUGGUAUGCUCUACAAUGGAGGUAUGUACAAGAUACUAUGGGGUUUAGAAGAGAAAUCAUUUGAUUGAGUAUAGAGAUGCCAGAGGUUGGAGAAACUGAUGCUUAAGUGGCUUAAAAGAAGUUAACGCUAGACUAGGAAGAAGACAGGGAAGUACCUGUUAAACAUAGGUGUGGACAUUGGAGAUAGAAUGAUGACAUGGGGGAACUACAAGUAGUUCCUAAAAUUCAGACGUGGGCUGACACUAGGUCCUUAUGUAGUAUUCAAUGAAAUAUGGAUUUCAUUUUGAGUGUUUAAGUAGGAGAUGCUUUUGAUGGUCACUCUGGCAGUAUUCUAGAGUAUGUUCUGGAAGAUACUCAGAUCUGGACAGGGAGAUUAGUUAGUAGGUAAGAUGAUAAAUUACCUAAGGCCAGAAGGAGUGGGAGUGGAGGAAUGGAGCUAACCUCUUAAUGAGAGGCUGUAC
rnacentral:lncRNA from 1 species